CAUCAAAGCCGCCUCGGCGAACCCCCUCCCUCUCCCCCAGCCGUGCCCCGAGACACUGCCACUCGAGCGUCUCCUGCCUCCCGAGCUCGAGGCAGCCUCCCCGUCGUGGCCUCCCAGAUCUGGUUCGAAGGAUUGGAACCCGAGGUACCCCCACCACCAUCUCGGCAGGAUAUUGCAAUGAAUCGGGCUCCUCGAUAAACCAAUCACCGCGACAACGAGCGUCGGCGGUGCUCCUCGUCGUCACCGCGGCGGUGCAGCUCGUCCCCGUCCGACCCGAACGCCGCCUCUAAAUCCAGUGGCAGGAUAUUUGUUCGAUGUAUAAACUUCCAAGAGAUGCCGCCCACCAUGCACGUCUCAACACCUACCUAAUGCUGAUGGUGAUGGGUGUCAUGGUUUGUGUUCAGUUUAGUUGAUUUCUGAAUUAUUUAGCUCGGAUUUCUUAAUGCGAAACUUGAAAUCCAAAACUAGAUUCUAAUGUAGAGUAUAUACCCUACUGCAGUGGGAUUGUUGGAUUCCUAAUGCGAAACUUGAAGCCAAACCAACCAGCAGGAGAAGCAGGUCGAAGGGGAACCACAUCACGGUGAGGAGCCUCCACAAUCACGAUUAUUUAGGAUACGCGUUCGAAGAAAUUGUUAUAGGGUCCAAGACCAUCCGGCUAAGCAGGUGGCCGUUUACAAGGUUGUUUGCAGAUCCAGCAAAAUUUUGCCAAGAAAAGAGCUCUACCGAGAAGGACAUGUCUCCAUCUCUGACUGGUGAAGCCAUGUGAAAUGGUUCAGUAACUCAUUUAGCUCAUGACCACCCGACGGAUAAGAACUCAGCAGCUCGUGUCACUAACUUCUAUCUGUUAUCCUUCAAAUCAGUGACUGUAUGUUUUCACUAGGCCCAAGUUAACCUUGUACAGUUUUGAACCAAAGGUAGGUUUCGUUUGGUAGACCUGUUUAAUUACAGGUAUACUGAGAUCCAUUGCCUAUAUAUCUAUGGAAGUACACUGACAUUGAAAUUAUUCCUCCACAGGGAUGUUUGAGCUUUUCACCUGAUACAUGGGUGUCACUCAUAUCCAUGACCUUGGCAUAGUUUCCUAUUCCUUUUCUUCUGAAAUGAUGUAAUUUGUGGGGCGCCAGCAUCUUGUCUCCUAAUAUUCUGUUUGCAGUACCAAUGUCCUUUAGCGCUUUGGUGCCAAUGAUUGGAAUGCACCUUGUGCACAACACGAAUGGCAAUCUGGAGGUGCCAUAAUGACGAGCAGCGGAGCAGAUGGAUGAACACACCUGAACUGCAUGAGCUACCUGUUAUCUUCAUGCAUGCAACGGUUUGUCGCAGUGCUAUGCCCUCUUGUACUUUCCAGUUGUUUCGUUUCUUGGUGGUAUAAGGAAAGGUCCAUGGGCAGCACUGU